UAGGGAAUAUUGCGCAAUGGGCGAAAGCCUGACGCAGCGACGCCGCGUGAGUGAUGAAGGCCUUAGGGUCGUAAAGCCUUCUGUUGUACGGGAAGAAAAAAAUGACCGGUAGC
rnacentral:rRNA from 1 species